rnacentral:tRNA from 1 species
UUGAGUAAAGGUAAGGUUAAAGGUGUAUUGACUAAUUUUAUAACUUACAAGUACUAUAUUAACGAAAUAACUGCUGUAAAUAAAUAUACUAUUUUUAAAUAGUGAUAGUUGAAUGACAAAAUGAGAGUAAACCACCGUAUAAAUAUAUAACUUAUUGAAAAAACGGCAGACUAUUAAGUAUCAAAUCAAUUAAAAUCAGUUACUGAUCAUUUUAGACAAUUUUUACCAUAAAUCUGUGCAAUUUGUCUGUUUUUGUGUAUGAGUGGUUGCGGUCUCAGAAGGGCACUUUAAGGGUAACCCCUUAAAAAUCUGAAAUUUAGAGAUAUUUAUGAAAAAAUUAAGUCUGGUGGUACGUUUUUCACUCAAAAUAAGAUUUAAUUUUUGAAAUAUAUCUUGGCAACACACAAAUUUUCUAUGUUGAAAAAAAAAGAAAUUAAAGUAAAUAGAAUUUAUUAAAAUUUCAAGAUUCAAAAACUAAUACUGAUAUAUGUAACAUUAUUUACGUAGUUACUCUUACAGAAGUACUUAAAUUGAAAAUAUUUAUGAAAAAACUAAGUUUGAUAAUUAGAUGAAAUUUUCACAACUUUACGUACCAAUCAGGUUUGUUUUUAAAUUCUACUUAUUUUUUUACACCAUCUUUUUAUUAUCGUUUUUUUUCAAGUGUAAUGGGAAGUAAAAACUCGAUCUCGAGUUUUUAUAAUUUUCAGACUAGGUACUUCCAUUUUAACAAGUACCAUACGCGUUUUGGUAAGUUUUUUGACGUUUUUUUCACCUUGUUUUUUUUCAAAUGUAAUGGAGGAAGUAAAAACUCGGGCUCGAGUUUUUAGUUUGACUUGUAAAAUCACUGGUUUUUGAUCAUUUUUUUUCCACUAAAAUGGGGGAUAAAAACUCGGCUUCGAGUUUUUAACCUUCGUAAGGGUCUGUUUUGUCCAUUUUAACCUGUACCAAUGGUGUUUCAACCUGUUUUUUAAGGUUUUAUGGGAAAUAAAUAUUUCAGCGGAAUUUAAAUUUUACAAUAAUUCACCGUAAAGAAUUUUAUUAGAACAAUUUUUACAACUUUGAAAUUUUUACAACUUUACGUACCAAUCUGGUUUGUUUUUAAAUUCUACUUAUUUUUUUACACCAUUUUUUUAUUAUCGUUUUUUUUCAAGUACAUCGGGGGGGGAUAGGUAUAGAGGCAAUAUUAUAAGAGUAUGUUCUUUUUGUUUAUAGGUUAUGGGUAGUUAGGGGUAAGUUCUUAUCAUUCUUAUCAAGUUAUGUUACUAUAUGAAGUAGGUAUAAGUGUAUGUAUAUUUAUAUGCAUAUGCUUAUACCUACUUCAUAGUACUUAAUAGCUAUACUUAUAAGUGUAUUAAUGCAAGUACUUCUCUUUUCAAUGUAUAGUUAAGUAAAGGUAAGGUUAGAGGUGUUGUUAGAGAUGUAUUAACAGUUCUUAAUAGGCAAGGUUAGAGGUGUAUUAGUGUAAGUACUUUUCUUUUCAAUGUAUGGUUAAAUGGGGGUAAGCUUAGAGAUGUUAUUAGAGGUGUAUUAACAGUUCUUAAUAGGUAUAGUUAGUUAGUAUAUUCUUCUCAAUAAAUAGUUAAAUAAGAGUAAGUAUUAACAGUCCUUAAUAGGCAAGAUUAGAGGUGUAUUAUUGUAAGUACUUUCCUUUUCAAUGUAUGGUUAAAUAGGGGUAAGCUUAAAGAUGUUAUUAAAGGUGUAUUAACAGUUCUUAAUAGGUAUUGAUAGUGUUGCUUCAUGAAUCUUGAAAUUUUAAUAAAUUCUAUUUACUUUAAUUCCUUUUUUCAACAUAGAAAAUUUGCGUAUUGCCAAGAUAUAUUUCAUUUAUUUUGAGUAAAAAAUGCACCAUCAAACUUAGUUUUUUCAUAAAUAUCUCCAAAUUUCAAGUUUUUAAGGGAUUACCCUUAAAGUGCCCUUCUGAGACCGCAACCACUCAUACUCAAAAACAGACAAAUUGCACAGAUUUAUGGUAAAAAUUGUCUAAAAAGAUCGGUAACUGAUUUGAUACUUAAUAAUCUACCGUUUUUUCAAUAAGUUAGGCAUUUGUGUGAGAGUAACUACGUAAAUAAUGUUACAUACAUCAAUAUUGGUAGUAUUAGUUUUUGAAUUUUGAAAUUUUAAUAAAUUCUAUUUACUUUAAUUCCUUUUUUUCAACAUAGAAAAUUUGCGUAUUGCCAAGAUAUAUUUCAUUUAUUUUGAGUAAAAAAUGCACCAUCAAACUUAGUUUUUUCAUAAAUAUCUCCAAAUUUCAAGUUUUUAAGGGGUUACCCUUAAAGUGCCCUUCUGAGACCGCAACCACUCAUACUCAAAAACAGACAAAUUGCACGGAUUUAUGGUAAAAAUUGUCUAAAAAGAUCGGUAAUUGGCUUGACCUUUAAUGGUACAUUGUUUUUUUCGAUUGGAUCGAAAGUUAUAAGUUAUUUUUGAUUUUGGUAGUUUCGUCUGAUUUUUUAAUCAUAGGCAAGUUCUCAGGUACUUCACAAGUUUGUGGUAAAACAGAGUUUUUAUCGUCUAAUGGUUAGGACGCUACUCUUUCACAGUAGAAAUACGGGUUCAAAUCCCGUUAAAAACAAACGGGACAGUAAUUAAUGGCGAAUAUAACUCAGUUGGUUAGAGUGUUAGGUUGUGGUUCUAAAAGUCACAGGUUCGAAUCCUGUUAUUCGCCUCUUUAACGAUUAUAAAAAGUUUUUACAGCAUUAAAUGGAUACUUAAGCAUUAAGAUCAAAAAUGGGCGUUUUAUAACGAAAUAUUACAAGGAGUAGAUUAUAAUGCUUAGAUCUGUAAUUCCCCAUAAAUUCGGAAAACUGAUCUUCAACUAAUGAAGAAUUGUCUAAAAUCACAUUCUAGGCAAAAAAUUUGGUGAAUUGAACCAUCUAAGUAACCAAAGUCCAAAAAUCAAACGAGGUGUUGUUAGUAGUGGCGAGCGAACACAGCAAAAGACUUGAAAAUCGAAAAGUCUAUUUAAUAUUUACAAUAGCCGUAGUAUGGUAGCCUAAAUGACAGGAUAGCCCUGUAAAAUAGAAUUUAGAUUUUCGUUUAGUAAGAUGAACUAAGUCAUAGUUUGUCUGAAUAUUGGGGGACCACCCUCAAAGUCUAAAAAUCUUAAUGACUGAUAGUGAAUAGUACCGUGAGGGAAAAGUGAAAAAGACUUUGCGAAAGUGAAAAGACUUUGAAAUUUAAUGCUAACAAUCUGUCGUAGUUUUUAAAAUGACGACGUACCUUUUGCAUAAGGGACCAACAAGUUUAUUUUAGUGGCGAGCUUAAGUAAUUAAAUACGUAGGCGUAAAGAAAUUAAGUUUUAAAAGGCUAUUAUUAGUCUCUGAAAUAAGACCCGAAACUAAGUGAUCUAGUCAUGAACUGGUUGAUGUUUAGGCGGCAACGCCUUUCGGAGGACCGAACCCGUGUAUGUGGAAAAAUACUGGGACGAUUUGUGAUUAGGGGUGAAAGGCCAAUCAAACUUAGAGAUAGCUGGUUUUCUGCGAAAUCUAUUUUAGUAGAGCGUUUAAAUAACUUUUUCAAAGGUAGAGCUCUCGAUAAAUGAUGGGGACUUAACGUUUUACUGAAUUUAUUGAAACUUCGAAUGUUGAGUGUAAUGAAUUUAAACAGACAGACUGUGAGUGCUAAGAUUCACGGUCAAAAGGGAAACAGCCCAGAUUAUUAACUAAGGCUCUUAAAAAUAAUUAAGUGAAAAAACUGUGAAAAAAUGUUGACAACCGAAAAGUAAGCUUAGAAGCAGCUAUCCUUUAAAGAAAGCGUAACAGCUCAUUGGUUUAGUUUUCUUGCAUUGAAAAUGUAUGGAACUAAAAUUAUUUGCCGAAGUUGUAAAUUUAUGAAAAUUAAAUGGUAGCAGAACGUUCUGUAAGUUUAAGAAGUUUUAUAGUGAUAUAAAAUGGAAACAUCAGAAAUGAAAAUGUUGGUAUGAGUAACGAUAAACAAUGUGUAAAACAUUGUCGCCUUAAGUUCAAGGUUUCCAAAACAAGGCUAAUCCGUUUUGGUAUUCUAUUUAUAGUUAAUCGGUCUCUAAGGAUAAAGACGAAAGUCUUAGUUUAAUGAGGGAAAAAUUAUUUUUUAUUUUUUAAAAGUGACAAAAUAUGAAUAUUAUCUUUAUUUUAUGGUUUAAAUUUAGGUUUUAUAAUAUUUUCUAGAAAUAGCUUUUAAAUGAAUUAACCGUACCCUAAACCGACACAGGUGAACAAGUUUAGUAAACUAAGGCGCUUGAGAGAAUUAUGUUGAAGGAACUCGGCAAAAUGACUCCGUAACUUCGGAAUAAGGAGUGACUUCAUGAGGGCAACCUUGUGAAGUUGUCACAAAAUCGGGGACAGCAACUGUUUAACAAAAACACAGGUUUCUGCUAAUUCGUAAGAAGAUGUAUUGAAACUGACGCCUGCCCAGUGCUGCAAGAUUAAAGGAAAAAGUCAUUUGGCUUUGACCCUAACUCCCAGUAAACGGCGGCUGUAACUCUGACGGUCCUAAGGUAGCGAAAUUCCUUGGCAUUUGAUUGGUGUCCUGCAUGAAUGGCGUAAUGACUGUCCUACUGUCUCCAACAUAAACUCAGUGAAAUUGAAUUUUUCGUGAAGAUGCGAAAUUCUUGCAGCUAGACGGAAAGACCCCGACACCUUUACUGCAAUUAUAUAUUGUAAUAAGAUUUUUUUUGUGUAGGAUAAGUGGGAAGUUAUUUAACAAUUCUUCGCGCAAGCGAAUAAAUUAAACAGCGUUGAAAUACCACUCUAAAAAUUUUUUAUUACUUAUUGUUUAAGACAGUGUAUAAUGGGUAGUUUGACUGGGGCGGUCGCCUCCUAAAGAGUAACGGAGGCGUACAAAGGUAAACUUAAGUUGAACUUUAACAACUUUAAAGCAUAAUAGUAUAUGUUUGCCUGACUGUAAGAUUGACAAAUCAAGCAGGGACGAAAGUCGGUUAUAGUGAUCCGAUGAUUCUGAGUGGAAAUGGUCAUCGCUCAACGAAUAAAAGGUACGUCGGGGAUAACAGGCUAAUCACCCUCUAGAGACCAUAUCGACGGGGUGGUUUGGCACCUCGAUGUUGGAUUAUCGCAUCCUGGAGCUGAAGACGGUUCCAAGGGUUUGGCUGUUCGCCAAUGAAGGCGGUACAUGAUCUGAGUUCAGAACGUUGUGAAACAGUUUGGUCCCUAUCUACUGUAAGUGCAAAAAAUUGAGAGGGGUAAACCUUAGUACGAGAGGACCGGGAAAAGUAAAUCCAUGGUGAAUCGAUUGUUAUACCAAUAGCAUAGUCGAGUAGCUACAUUUAUAAUAAAUAAUCACUGAAAGCAUCUAAGUGAGAAAUUAGCCUCAAUACAAAUUUUUUUUUAAAGUGUGAUAGACUAUCACAUCGAUAGGCCUAGUGUGUAAGAACUGCAAGGUUUUUAGCUAAUAGGUACUAAAUUAAUUUUAAUAUACUUUU